CACGUAGGGUGCGAGCGUUGUCCGGAAUUAUUGGGCGUAAAGCGCGCGUAGGCGGCUACUUAAGUCGGAUGUGAAAGCCCUUGGCUCAACUGAGGAAGUGCACCCGAAACUGAGUGGCUUGAGUACUAAAGAGGGUCGCGGAAUUCCCGGUGUAGAGGUGAAAUUCGUAGAUAUCGGGAGGAACACCGGUGGCGAAGGCGGCGACCUGGGUAGAUACUGACGCUGAGGCGCGAAAGCGUGGGGAGCAAACAGG
rnacentral:rRNA from 1 species